rnacentral:snoRNA from 1 species
UGAUUUUAAAUGUUUUAAAAUCUUCUGUUUUAAAAUUCUGCUCUACACUAUAGAUGCAAGAAAAACAUCCCGCGCUUUCUGCCUGCCUGAUUGUGGCAGCCCAGAUUGAAUGGGGGAACACAGGG